rnacentral:rRNA from 2 species
AAAUUGAAGAGUUUGAUCAUGGCUCAGAUUGAACGCUGGCGGCAGGCCUAACACAUGCAAGUCGAACGGUAACAGGAAGCAGCUUGCUGCUUUGCUGACGAGUGGCGGACGGGUGAGUAAUGUCUGGGAAACUGCCUGAUGGAGGGGGAUAACUACUGGA